UACGGAGGGAGCUAGCGUUGUUCGGAAUUACUGGGCGUAAAGCGCACGUAGGCGGCUUUGUAAGUUAGAGGUGAAAGCCUGGGGCUCAACCCCAGAAUUGCCUUUAAGACUGCAUCGCUUGAAUCCGGGAGAGGUGAGUGGAAUUCCGAGUGUAGAGGUGAAAUUCGUAGAUAUUCGGAAGAACACCAGUGGCGAAAGGCGGCUCACUGGACCGGUAUUGACGCUGAGGUGCGAAAGCGUGGGGAGCAAACAGG
rnacentral:rRNA from 1 species